rnacentral:ncRNA from 1 species
UUUAGAGUUUGAUUCUUGCUUAAAUUUUUUAUACUAUGAUUGAAAAAUAUAUGAAAAUUUUUGUGUUCCUUUUAUUAGAUUAAAGAUAAUAGAACAACUCUCAGUAUUAAGUUUUAAAUUAUUAAUUGAAAUUAGAUUUGGUAGUCAUUUUAAUCCUGGCUAAAAUUUGUGCCAGCAGUCGCGGUUAUACUUAGAGGAUAAGUAAAUAGAAUUUGGUUUGUAGUAAGUUGUAAUUAAUUAGUAGUUAUUAUAUUUUUAAAAGAGUGAAAUCAGAGUUAAGUAAUUAUAAUAAUUAUAUAAUAAAAUAAGAAUAAACUAUCAAUUUUAAUAUAUAAACUAGGAUUAGAUACCCUACUAUAAUUAUAAUUAAUUUCGCCCGAAUAUUAAUAGUUAUUUUCUUUAAAUUCAAAGAAUUUGGCGGUAUUUUAGUCUUCUUAGAGGAACCUGUUUCGUAAACGAUAAACCACGAAUAUCUUACCUGUUUUGAGUUUGUAUAUCGUCAUUAUUAGAUAACUUCUGUAGAAUGAGUUAUUAUAAUUAAGAUAAAUUAAGUAAAUUAGAUCAAGGUGCAGCAUGUAAAUAGGAGAAAAUGGGUUACAUUAAUAAUAAAUUAUACGAAUUUAUUUAUGAAAUUAAAUAAUAAAGGUGGAUUUAAUUGUAAAUUUUAAUAAUUAUAAUAGUUUGAUAUAAGCUCUAAAAUAUGUACAUAUCGCCCGUCGCUUUCACCUAAAAGUGAAAUAAGUCGUAACAAAGUAGGUGUACUGGAAAGUGUAUCUAGAAGU